rnacentral:rRNA from 1 species
CGCUCUUUGUCUGUGUAGGUGCACUAAUUAUUUUGAAUCAUGUAUAAAGAGUCGGGCCUGCCCGGUGACCAGAGGUUAAACGGCUGUGAGUAAAUGUAUUAAUGUAGCAUAAUCCAAUGCCUUUUAAUUGAAGGCCUGUAUGAACGGUCUGACGAGAGCUUGACUGUCUCUAUAAAAAUAUUUAAAAAUUAAUCUUUAGGUGAAAGAGCCUAAAUGUUUCUGAAAGACGAGAAGACCCUGUCGAGCUUUAGUGGAGCAUAGUUAGUCAACAAAUAAUAUGGGGACUGGCUAUGUAAGAUCUUUAGCUGGGGCAGCUCAGGAACAUGACAAGUUUCCUGGAUUUUGAGAGAUAGGCAGAUAUUUGAUCCAAUUCUAUGUGAGUUUAAUUUUUAGUUUAUUUGAUGUUUUAGUUAAGUUUACUAGCAGUGACUUGUGUGUUGUUGUGUCUUGUUAACCGAUUGAUCAACGAAAAAGCUACCGCAGGGAUAACAGCGCAACUCUUUCAGAGAGCCCUAAUCGAAGAAAGAGUGUGCGACCUCGAUGUUGGACUAAGAUAUCCUUAGGGUGCAGAAGUUCUAAAAGGUUGGUCUGUUCGACCAUUAAAAUCUUACA